AUGGGGUCUAAGAUCAUCAGAGGUGAGUACCUGGCAAGAAGUUUUUGGUUGGCUUCCUGCAUGUCUUACCCCCCACCUCCUUCUGAUCCUCUUGAGAAAUUUUCAAAUUGUAGCUCUUUAGACUUGUGAACUAUCAAAGAGGCUAUUAUAUUCCCUCAAGAUUGAGAACUUUUAACACUCUUGUCAUUGUCAAAACUGGAAUGAUGCAGGCUUGUCAUGUAAGCUGUAAGAUCUCAAAAUUAAUGGUAAUUUUUGGUUUGUUUUACAGAGGCACGUAGG
rnacentral:misc_RNA from 1 species